GCAAUUAUAUGAUUUUAUUUGACACUACGGGGUGUCUCAUUCUUGAUCUGAUCAUGAGGGUCGAGAAAAUAAGCCGUUGAUUUCGGAAUUUUAUUGAUUUUUAUUUUGGAGGGUUUUACAGCAAGAUCACAACGAUGCCAAGAGUUGACUAGAUAAUUUUGGUUUGACUGAAUUGGUGUGGAAGGACAAAGGCUUCACAGGCUCCAGCUGGAAAACGUAGCAGCAAGACAACUAGGUAAAAUUGAUGAUUAGAUUCCAUUAUUCCCUAUGUUCCUCACCCCUCCAAAGUUAAAAAAAAAAAUACAAAAAUUAAUUAAUUAAAAUAAACAAAAGCUUUCUGCUUCAGGUUUUUAUUUAUUUAUUUAUUUAUUAUUACAUCGUUGCUUAAACAAAUGGUCUUUCUUAAAGUAGAGACAUGAGAUAUCAU
rnacentral:lncRNA from 1 species